UACGUAGCAGCAAGCGUUGUUCGGAAUUACUGGGCGUAAAGAGUGUGUAGGCGGUGCUCCAAGUCUGGUGUGAAAUCUCCCGGCUUAACUGGGAGGGUGCAUUAGAAACUGGAAUGCUAGAGGAUGGGAGAGGUAAGCGGAAUUCCUGGUGUAGCGGUGAAAUGCGUAGAUAUCAGGAGGAACACCUGUGGUGUAGACAGCUUACUGGACCAUUUCUGACGCUGAGACACGAAAGCGUGGGUAGCAAACAGG
rnacentral:rRNA from 1 species